CCCUUUGUGCCAUUGUUUGAUGAUUGUGUCGAACUAAACGUAUGCAACUCAGCCUUUUAGACCAAGAAUAAUGCUCAUGCGUAUCUUCAUGCCAUAACACGGUCCAAAAAUAUCCUGCAACUUGAUUCCUUAAUACACUAUAGCUUUAGACACAACAUCUUUUUAUUUUGAUUAAUUAUUUUUGACAACUUGCAUAAAUAGGAGAAGGAGAUUCAAGACAUGGCAAGCUACUAAUUGAGUCGAAUCAGCGAGCCUGCUGGACUUUCUAACAUCUGGUUGGACACGAUGGCACACAGCAUAUC
rnacentral:lncRNA from 1 species